UAAAUAAUUGAUUUAAGACGUGAACUUAAUAAAAAGUUAUUUAUUGUGUAUUAUUUGUGAAAGAUCCAAGCAGAGAAUACAUCAGAUAUAUCCUGUGAUCCAAGUAUUUUGUUGUUAGAGAUGUCCAAAAUUGUAAGCGUUCCAAAAUAACAACAUAUUAUUAAAAAAUCACUUUUAACACUUUUCCUCUUUUCUCGAUUGAUUAUUAGUUUUUGUUGUACAAAUAAAUUAUUACAAUCACUGAAAACAUAGUUAGUGAAAAAAUUAUCACAUUUAUUAACUGAAUUAAUAAUUUGCAAUUAUAAAAAUAACAGUUAUCCAAGAACAUUCAAAAGCCAUCUCUUUAAAUUAAUUAUGGCAUUUUCAAGUAGAAUGACAUUCUAGUAAUGUUUACAUAUCCACACCAGUGUGAAUUUUACUACACGUAAUUUGCCGUGUAAAGACAGAAAAAGUAGGGAUACACGUAAAAUAUUUGCGAAUUAUGUACCCAUAGCCUUAAGGUCACAGUACAAUAUUGUGCUUAAGGUGAAACAUAAUGAAUGGAAUGGAAGAAGAAAUAUUUUUAACAACAACAACAAAUUGGGAAGUGUUUUAAGGUUAUGUUCUUUGUUGCUAUUUUAAUUUUAAGAAAAAUUUUUGUUUGAGCUUCUUUUAAUAUGGCAUAAAAAGGUUUUCAAAUAUUCCAUCCUUAAUGACUUCUUGGAUAAUGAUAACAAGAUCAUAAGAUAAACAUGAAAAUGCCAUAGUAUCGGGUGAUGGAAAAAAGAUGAUCUUUGACUCUGAUUAAUCAUAAGGAGAGAAAUAUUAGUGGGUGUCCAGUAUGAAGAAAAAAGCUAUGAUGUAAUAAAUAAUAAAUUUGUUGAAGGCUAGUGAAAUUACAUUGGCUACAUGUAGUUGUUCCAGAGCUGCUAAAUGCCAUCAUAUUGCAGGAUUGGCACUAUUAAGCGUUAUAAAAUUUUAAGUAGUGGAUAAAGAGGUUGUAGAAUGCUCCAGCUAAAACUUAAUCUGAGGUAGCGAAAUGUACUGAAUUGCGUUAUCAACCAAAGCUAAUUGGUUCUCACCAAAGCCAUAAAUGCCCACAUGUUACUACAAUCUUCCUCGAGGCACUUACGAGAGAAAAGUUAUGUUGCAAAAUUUUUCAUCAACUUAUCACGGAAAAAGAUAAAAUGAUAUUUUUCUCACGGCACGACUGCUCCCGGGUUAAAAUCCUAUAUGGCGUCAAAAUUAAUGAGACACAAAAAAGGGUAUGAAAUCAACUAUAAUUAUCUUUUAAAUCCUUCAUUUUUAAAACCUUCUCUCUCGGGAGGAAAACUAGAACAUCGCUCCUUUGUUAUAAAAAUAGCUAUUAUCUUUAUUAAUUCAAAUCAUAAUUUAUUUUUAAUUUAUCAUUAUGAAUGGCUGUAGGAUUAAUAGAAAUAAAAUAGUAAUUUGUAAAAAAA